UAGUUGCCCCCUUGCGGCACUGGCGCCGGGCGCCGGCGGCGUUGGCGACGGACGCACCCUCUCCACAUCCUAGCUGCACCGCUGUGCCUAGAAACUCUACUCUCGUCCUCUUCCUCACGCGUCGGAGUUUUGUCCGUGCUCUGCCCUCGUCCGCCAUUGUCCUCGUCCGUCGUUGUGUGCCUUUGCGUGUCGUGGUCUCUUCGCCCGCAGCGUUGGCAACAGAGAUUCAGACUAUUGUAUAUAUAGGACACCAAGACUAGGCUUGAGAAGGAAAGUAUUAUCCCUAUUUGCAGGAAUAAUCGGAAUGCUAGAGCAGUGUUCCCAUCCAGAUAUAUUAUCUGUGUGACUUUGACAAAUAAUUUCUCUGCACUGAUACUAUUGGAGUGAGUUGCAAUCUGAGGUUCUCACGGAUGCCAUCUCCCAGAUCGUUAGGGAUGCCAAGUAGAAGAAUAGGGAGUUAUAAGAUUAUUGAACUUCAGAUUGGUCUGAAGUAUUAUAAUCCACAGAAGGACAAGCGUUUCAGUGACUCUAUUAAGUUGCCCCACACCCUCGUCUGAAGAUGAAGGUGUGCAUGCUUGGUGAUGCCCAACAUGUUGAGGAGGUAAGCAGAUAGUUUAUGUGCUUGAGAUCUGAGUUUAGAAUAGGCUCAUCUGCCUAGUUUGUAUUUCCCCUCGGAUAUUUUUGACACAGUUCUUCAGCUGCAAAUCACUGAUACGCUAGUGUGUUCGACACAUUAUAUGUUUGUUGGGUUAUCUCUUUUUUGAGUACCCUGAGUUUUUCUUUCUCUGGAAAUUAUCUCCAUCUGUAGUAGAGUAGUAUUUUGGUAGUCCUUCAUAUGGUUCACAGUCUGAACAUGGGUAUUUUUGGUUCAUCACAAGACAUGUCAGGUCAAGUUCCUACUCCUGGUCGACAUGGUUGUGUGCUCAGUCC